CUCUGAGACCCUAAUUAACUCUAGCAAGCUCUUACAUUAUCUUAUAAAUGUCAAUGUCUGCUGAGUUUUUUUCACCCCAAAUUUUACUAUCUUUUAGGUUGUUAAAUACCAUAAGCUUCAAGCUUUUGACUGGGGAAGCAGUGACAAGAAUUAUUUUCAUUACAAUCAGAGUUAUCCACCCUUGUACAGCAUAAAAGACAUGCAACUACCCACUGCUUUAUGGAGCGGGGGCAAGGACUGGCUGGCAGACACCAGUGACAUCAAUAUCUUACUGACUGAAAUCCCCACGUUAGUGUACCACAAGAACAUUCCCGAGUGGGACCAUCUGGAUUUUAUCUGGGGUUUGGAUGCCCCCUGGAGGCUGUAUAAUGAAGUAGUCAGUCUAAUGAAGAAAUACCAGUGAGUGCCAAGACUUGAGAUGCUUCCCCUUCACUAGGGGAAAAAAGGACAGAUGUUUGCUUAAUUCCUGCAAAAUACUUGUGUUUUCCUGGUCUAGAUCAUUUGUAUUUUUUAUGUGCAAGAAAACGAUGAUGUUGAAGACAUACAUGGGUCUGGUCAGUAAGAAGCACGCUGGCUGUCUUCUGCUUCAUUCUGACUGACAAGCCAGAGUCACAACCAGCGAUGCCUUUGAAGUUUUUAGAAAGUAUGGGUGUUACGUGAAGAAGCCAUUGCAAUCCUCUUGUUUACUUUUUACGGUCGUUUUCGGUGUCUGCAUGCUGUGCAUAUACAUGCCUAUGUGUGUGCCCUGUGCUGGCCAGAGCCUCCUUGUGUGGAG
rnacentral:lncRNA from 1 species